GGAAACGAGUGGUCGCCCAAUCAGGAAAU
rnacentral:sRNA from 1 species